GAGCCUGUAGCUCAAAGGAUUAGAGCACGUGGCUACGAACCACGGUGUCGGGGGUUCGAAUCCCUCCUUGCCCA
rnacentral:tRNA from 1 species